UCCAAGAGGAAUGGCUGAGGCUGGUCACAUGUUUCCGCAAGCACUCCCAGGACCCUUCGCCACUGGAGGAGAGAGCAGAGGGGACCUGGGCCAGGAUGUGACAGAGGAUUAUUGGCACUGCCCCCCAGAGUCUUGCUGGCCAAGCCUCGUGUGUAUUUUAUUAACCAGGGUCCAAUCUUUCCUUGCCCUUGGAACGCAACACCUCCCUUUCCUCCAGGGGCAGAGCCUCACCUUCAAAGGAGCCAUGAGUCCUGAUGUCAUGCAUUAGGAACCCCGCAGUGAAUACCAAGGCAACCAGCAGCAGCCGAGCCCAAGGAAGGCCACUGGCUUUCAUCUUCAGCAGCAGGUUCUGAAGGGGAAACACAAAGAGAGGAGACAGCUCUGAGAUCUACAGAUGGAGGUAUACAAAUUGAAUAAAUAAUAACAAUACCUUGCAGGCAGCUCUGCAAGCUGCAACAUCC